CUGUCAUUCAUCACCUUGAUUUUCUACGGAAGGCCCAGAAAAAUCUCAGAUACUCUCUGUUUCACUUUGCUUAUAGGCUCUUAAGAGGACAACAUCCUGGAUCCCACACCAGUACAACUGAUGAUGACAUUAACAUCCAAACGCCAACCAGAAAACGACCAACAAACACUACUACAGUAACCAUUGAACAAAGACAAUAUCACAGGUUCUUUAGCUAUUUAAUAUUCCAUCAAAUAUAAUUAUAUAAUACCUACCAAGGAUUUCCGAAUAGAAGGCAUUCUCAUCAUUCUCAUCUCAAGCAGCAACCUCACCAGUAACACAUUUUCAUAUCAUGUUUCCACCACAGGUCGCACAUAUAGAAAGAAUGAAGUAUUAAUUAGCUUCAACAGAGCCUAUUUCUUUAUUUCUUUUUUUCCCAAAUAAACCUUCAUUCUUAUACGUAUAAUUAAAAUAUCAACUGAAUAAACAAAGUCUGUGAUUACUAGUACAACAUUUUCAUUUUCAAGCGGAGCUAGAUAAGAUAUCGAUGUCUGUCAAAUAAACCUAAUUUAAUCUUGAAACCAUAAACUGCACUAAGCAUAGCAGCAAAGCCAGAGCCUGACUAUAAAGAAGAUAAUAUAUAUAUAUAUAUAGAGAUUAAACUUUUGUUUUAUCUUCCACAAGCAAGAAAUUCGACUGGAACAUGAAAUUUUUAACAAUCUUACAAACAUUAUACACAAAUCUCAAUUAACGGCAAAUAGGGGGAUGAAUCACUGACAUCACCCAAUUCAUAUAUUCAAUUAAUGUAUUCCCACCCCAGUCAGCAACGUGCUACCACAGUUGAUUAGUUAUUAGGGAUAAGGCUUACCGCAAAGAACUGAAUGGCGUUAUCUAAAUAAUGAGUUGAAACGGCAUCUGCAAUCGCAUUAAAUGGCAUUGAACCGAAAGGUAGGGUUUAAAUGAAUGUUGGCCUGAGACAAAAGGGCGUGGCAUAUUGGGGUCUUAUGGCUUCGUUUUGUUUCAAUUGACGGAGGGAAGCUGAGCGAAAGCUUUGAUAUGUAAAUUUCAGCUUAAUUUAAGCUAGGGUCUUCUUUCGAUUGAAACAGAAAAAGAUUUUGGGUUAUUAAAGUGAAAGAGAUGGAAUAAUACAAAAAAUUAGCAAAGUGAAAGCGAGGGAAUACAAGAUUUAUUAUGGGUCCUAAGAGCUGAAGGCAAUUCGCCAUGGUUCUGAUAUACGGAAAACUUUCUUAGCUUUAUCGGUGGUGGAAGUGAGGGUUAGGGCUAGGGUUCUACACAAUGUCGUUGAGAAUGGCUCAAAGUUCAUUGAUUUUAGGUUGCGGCGAGAGAGGGGUUUAUUCAACACUUGUCGAUAUUUGGCUGAAG
rnacentral:lncRNA from 1 species